CAAACAGUACGUGAAACCGUCGGGAGGGAAACGAACGAGGUUGGUGCAGCGACCGCGCAGGUUCAGUCGCCGCCGAAGGCGCCGACGGGCGAGCGGAGACCGCUCCCCGCCGUGGGCCGGAGGCGGAGCCGUACUCCUCGCGGUCGCGGACCAGCGGCGGUUCCGCGGGGGCCAGAAGGCGGCCCGGAAGGUGAGUCGACCCGGGUCCGCCCGGAGCCGACAGCAUAUAACCGGACCGACCGGCGCCCCGGUGGGACCGAGGAACAGUCGGGCAGCCUUUGCCCGUGACGGUGCACGCCGAAAGGCGGGACCUCCUCCCGGCGGGGAUCCGCGCGGCGUGGACUGCGUGCAGUGCUAGCCGUUGCGGUGAUCCGACGGGGGAGAGCGUCACCCGUGCGCCAGUGCCGCUGGUACUCGGACGGCCUCGUCCGA
rnacentral:sRNA from 1 species